rnacentral:rRNA from 1 species
GGGUGAAAUUUUAAGUUAAAUAGCAAUAAUAGUAAUUAUAAUUUGUUUUAGAAGCUAUUAAUUUUUAGGUGUAAACUAGGAUUAGAUACCCUAUUAUACUAUUAUGUAAUUUUAGAGUGCUUGAGUAGUAAUUAGUUAUGGUCUUUAAACUUAAAGGAUUUGGCGGUAUCCAAGCCUAGUUAGAGGAACCUGCACUGUAAAUGAUAUUCCACGAAUUAUCUUACUUUAUUUUGUUUUCAGUUUGUAUACCUCCAUUAUAAAAUAAUAUUAAGAAUUAUUUAUUGAGAUAAAGUGUUUUAGUAUAUUAGGUCAAGGUGCAGCUAAUGGUAGAGUAGUUGUGGGUUACAAUAUAUUAUUUAUAAACGUAUAGUGUUUUGAAUAAUACAUUUGAAGGUGGAUUUAAUUGUAAGUUUGUUUUAAUAUGGCAUGUUGAUAAAAGUUUUAGGAUAUGUACAUAUCGCCCGUCGCUCUCGUAUUAAGAUGAGAUA